rnacentral:lncRNA from 1 species
UUUUUUUUAUUUUUGUUCUGCAUAUUUUUGCAUCAAAUUCCUUGCAAAUCUUUCAGCUAAUUCAUUGCAAAUCUUUGUAAGAUCUUAGUUGACUAGUGAGCUGAGGUGACAAGUGUUUUUCUCUAUGAUGAACUCGGUUUCACCGAAUAGCUAUUUUCGGUCCAACCAAAUCCCUUUGGUACUACCGAAACAUGCCACUCGGUGCCACCGAUUUCGCAACAGGAAAAACAGUUUGCCACAUAUUCUAUAUUUCUUCUGAUCCAGCUCCACUCAAUGAAUCUUGUCCUCUACAAGCAUCACAGUUUUAUUCACUGCUUUGUACUAAAUCUCAAGGACCAAACCUAUUCGACGGAUUCCAGGAAAAACCUUCUUGGAAAUUGAUGUCAAAGGGGGAGAGAGAGAUCACAUCAAAGCUUAUCAUCAGAGAGAGAGAGAGAUCACAUCAAGAGCUUAUCACCUACAAAGGAGAAUACUAAGGGGUCCCAUAUAUUAAGGGGGAGAGAAUACUCAAGGAUCCCAAUCCCAAAUGCUUGAUGCUCAAGAGGAGAGAUGCCACAUGUCUUUUUGGGGGAAAUACAUGUUCAUAUGAACUCAUUUGAAUUUAGUUCUACUCAUAUCUUUCAGCUCUGAUUUUCUGUUUCCUAUCUUCUCCCAAUAUCCCAUGUAAGAUUCAAGGGGAGCAAGACACCUAAAGGAAAGAAAUCAGUCAAAUUCAUUGCAUAUCUUUAUUCUUGGGGACAUGUUGAAUUCAAUAUGGUAUCUUGUACUCACUCUCUACAUGACAUCCCAAUCUGGUUUCUUUUGUUUGCUCUGGCUAGUGGACGUACCUGUGUUAUCUAAUCUUGUUUGUGCAGGUUCAUUCCAUCCUAAGCCAACUCAAGACCACAAGGUAAGUAUAUGCAUCAAAAUCAUGAGUAUGAGGAGUUCUUGCUUAUGUACAUACUGUUUGCAAGAAGGACUCAUGAGCAUGAAGGUAUUUUCCUUGAUAAUCUUUUGCUCUGAUGCAUAUGGCCAAGAUACAUGUAACACUUUGCCUACUCUGUCAUGGUUAUGCUCUCACAUGCCUCUCUAUUUCAUAUUUACAUGAGUGCAUACAUGUAGGGGGAGCCUAUCCUUGUUACAUGUUCUUCCAAAGCUUUACUUGUUGUUCUUUAUAUCUUUAUCUAAAGCUUUGAUGUAUGUUGCCAUCAAUUACCAAAAAGGGGGAGAUUGUAAGCACAAGUGCUCCCUAGGUGGUUUUGAUAAUUGAUGACAACAUAUCUCUUGUUGGACUAACAUUUCGGUCUAGCAUGUUUCAGAUAAGUUCAACAAUGGAGUGGCAUGGACUAAAGGUUGUGGGAACUCCUUCAAGAUGCUAAGGACAAAGCAUUGGCCAAAGCUUCAAGCUCAAGACUCUUCAUCUUAUAUUUUAGUGAUCCAAGAUCACAUUGAGUCUUUAGGAAAAGCCAAUACUAUCAAGGAGGGAUGAGGUGUUGCUUAAUGAGCCUCUUGCUUCAUGUGCUUAGUGAUAUGCUCCAAAACCCUCAACUACUUUCCCACUUCCACAUAUGACCUAAAUCCUAAGCCAAACUCGGUCCUACCGAUUCCUCAUAUCCGGCGCCACCGAGUUUCACUUGUCAUACGUCACUGCCAAACCCUAAUCAGUUCGGUCUCACCGAUGGGAUCUCGGUCUCACUGAGAUGGGCUUGCAAACUCUCUGUUACCCAUUGCAAUAUUCUCGGUCCCACCGAGAUAUGCAAUCGGUCCCACCGAGUUUGCUUGACCAAAUCUCAGUUUCACUUAUUACCCAAAUCGGUCCCACCGAGUUUGAGUAAUCGGUCAAACUGAGUUUUGGAUAUACCCUAACCCUAGCACAUCGGUCUCACCGAGUUGAUCCAGUCGGUCCCACCGAAAUCUCUAACGGUCACUAGGUUUACAUUUUCGGUCCGACCGAGUUUAUUAAUUCGGUCCCACCGAGAUUGGAAAACUGUGUGUAACGGUUGGAUUUUGUGUGGAGGCUAUAUAUACCCCUCCACCUCCUUCUCAUUUGAAGUGAGAGCCAUCAGAACACACACACCAUUCCAACUCAUAUGUUCUGAGAGAGAACCACCUACUCAUGUGUUGAGACCAAGAUAUUCCAUUCCUACCAUAUGAAUCUUGAUCUCUAGCCUUCCCAAGUUGCUUUCCACUCAAAUCUUCUUUCCACCAAAUCCAAAUCCUAUGAGAGAGAGUUGAGUGUUGGGGAGACUAUCAUUUGAAGCACAAGAGCAAGGAGUUCAUUACCUACACACCAUUUGUUACUUCUUGGAGAGUGGUGUCUCCUAGAUUGGCUAGGUGUCACUUGGGAUCCUCCGAUAAGAUUGUGGAGUUGAACCAAGGAGUUUGUAAGGGCAAGGAGAUCGCCUACUUCGUGAAGAUCUACCGCUAGUGAGGCAAGUCCUGUGUGGGCGAUGGCCAUGGUGGGAUAGACAAGGUUGCUUCUUCGUGGACCCUUUGUGGGUGGUUGCUUCUUCGUGGACCCUUCGUGGGUGGAGCCCUGUGUGGACUCACGCAACCGUUACCCUUGGGUGGAGCCCUGUGUGGACUCGUGCAACCGUUACCCUUCGUGGGUUGAAGUCUCCAUCAACGUGGAUGUAGGAUAGCACCACUUAUCCGAACCACGGGAAAAACAUCCGUGUCUCCAAUUGCGUUUGAAUUCUCCAAACCCUUCUCUUUACAUUCUUGCAAGUUGCAUGCUUUACAUUCCGCUGCUCAUAUACUCCUUGCAUGCCUGCUUGAUAUGUAUUGUGUGUGUUGAAAUUGUGCCUAAACUCCACUUAAACCUAAAAAGCUUAAAAAUUGCAACUUUAGCAUGAAGUGUCUAAUCACCCCCCUCUAGACACAUCUACUUCUUGAUCCUACACCUUUGAAAUAACCUGCAACAAUAUCCACCUCACGACGAUAUGCUGCCAUGAGUGGGUCCUUAGAGUCCCAAGUGCCAGACACCUGCUGAGCCACAAGGUCCGAGUCACGAAGCACUUAACUCGACUUAGAUUCAUCUCCUUAGCCAUCCGGAGACCAUGGAGCAAGGCUUCAUACUCAGCUGCAUUGUUAGUACAAGGGAACAUUAAGCGGAGAACAUAAAAAAACUUAUCACCUCGUGGGGAAGUUAAUACGACUCCAGCCCCCGAGCCUCCCAACUGCCUGGAUCCUUCAAAAUGGAUGGUCCAAUACGUGUGAUCCGGCUUUUCUUCAGGUGCUUGCAUUUCCGUCCAAUCAUUGAUGAAAUCAACAAGUGCUUGAGACUUAACCACUGUCCGAGGCACAUACUUCAAACCGUACGGCCCCAGCUCUAUGGCCCACUUUGCAAUCCGGCCAGUUGCUUCCCGGUUCUAGAUGAUAUCUCCCAAAGGAGCAGAACUGACCACCGUAAUCGGGUGCCCUUGGAAGUAUUGUUUAAGCUUCCGGCUUGCCAUAAAAACUCCAUACACCAGCUUCUGCCAAUGCGGAUACCUUUGCUUGGACUCGAUUAGUACCUCGCUGAUAUAAUAGACCGGUCGUUGAACCGGAUGCUCCUUACCUGCCUCCUUUCGCUCCACCACAAUAGCCACGCUGACCGCCCGAGCAUUGGCAGCAACAUAUAACAGCAACGGCUCCUUGUCAAUGGGAGCGGCGAGCACCGGCGGAUUGGCCAAUUGCCGCUUUAAGUCCUCAAACGCUUCAUUAGCGGCGGAACUCCAGGCAAACUGAUCCAUCUUUUUCAACAUCUGAUACAAAUGGAUUGCCUUCUCACCAAGACGACUGAUAAACCAGCUUAAUGCUGCAAUCCGGCCGGCCAGUCGUUGAACAUCAUUGAUACACUUUGGUUUAGCCAGGGCGGUGAUGGUCGUGAUCUUCUCCGGAUUAGCCUCAAUUCCCCUGUUGGACACCAGAAAACCCAAUAGCUUGCCCGCCGGUACACCAAAGACACACUUGUCCGCAUUAAGCAUCAUCUUGUAUGUCCUCAGGUUAUCAAAAGUUUCCUUCAAAUCAGCAAUCAAAGUCUCCUUCUCCCUAGACUUAACCACGAUAUCAUCCACGUAAGCAUGUACAUUACGGCCGAUUUGCUUGUGAAGAUAAUUUUGUACACACCGUUGAUAAGUUGCAUGGGCACUCUUGAGCCCGAAGGGCAUAGACACAUAGGAGAAGGCUCCAAAGGGAGUUAUAAAUGCCGUCUUCUCCUGGUCCUUAACUGCCAUUUUAAUCUGAUGAUAGCCAGAAUAUGCAUCCAAAAAAGUUAAACACUCACAACCCGCCGUAGCAUCAAUAAUUUGAUCAAUAUGGGGGAGGGCAAAAGGAUCUGUUGGACAAGCUUUAUUAAGAUCUGUGUAAUCCACACACAUGCGCCAGGUGCCAUUUUUCUUGAGGACCAGCACCGGAUUGGCAAGCCACUCAGGGUGAAAAACUUCAACAAUAAAACCAGCUGCUAAGAGCCUGGCUACCUCUUCUCCAAUCGCCUUGCGUCUUUCUUCAUUAAACCAGCGGAGGAACUGUUUCACCGGUUUAUAUUUAGGAUCCACAUUAAGUGUGUGCUCAGCGAGUUGCCUCGGUACACCUAGCAUGUCAGAGGGCUUCCAUGCAAAAAUGUCUUGAUUCUCACGGAUGAACUCGAUGAGCGCGCUUUCCUAUUUCGGAUCCAAGUUGGCACUGAUGCUGAACUGCUUGGAUGAAUCGCCAGGUACGAAGUCAACAAGCUUAGUUUCUGCUGCCGAUUUGAACUUCAAGGCCGGAUCAUGCUCCGUAGUUGGCUUCUUCAACGGAGUCAUGUCCGCCGGAUCAACAUUGUCUUUAGAAUACUUCAGCUCCUCGGUGGCACAAACCGACUCUGCAUAGGCCGCAUCUCCUUCCUCACACUCCAAAGCGAUUUUGCGGCUUCCGUUAACCGUUAUUGUCCCCUUGUGACCCGGCAUCUUGAGCUGCAAAUACACAUAACAGGGCCGAGCCAUAAACUUGGCGUAGGUCGGUCGCCCAAACAGGGCAUGAUAUGGACUUUGGAUUUUCACCACUUCAAACGUCAAUGUCUCCGACCUGGAAUCAUGAUCAUCCCCAAAGGCCACUUCUAGAGCUAUCUUACCAACGGGAUAUGCUGAUCUGCCAGGCACUACACCGUGGAAUACUGUAUUAGACGGUUUGAGAUUCUUAUCUGUUAGUCCCAUACGAUGGAAGGUCUCAUAGUACAGGAUGUUAAUGCUGCUCCCUCCAUCCAUGAGCACCUUGGUGAACUUGUAACCUCCCACCUGAGGCGCCACCACCAGAGCCAACUGACCCGGAUUAUCGACCUGGGGAGGGUGAUCUUCUCUGCUCCAUAUGAUUGGCUGUUCAGACCAACAUAGAUAACGGGGUAUGGCCGGUUCAAUAGAGUUGACCGCCCGCCUCUGAACCUUCCGGUCUUGCUUGUCCAAGCUAGUGGUGAAGACAUGGUACUGCCCAUUACUCAACUGCUUUGGGUUGCUCUGGUAACCUGACUGUUGUUGUUGUUGGUUGUAACCACCCUGGUUGUUCUAACUAUUUUGACCAUUAUGUCCGCCCGGAUUACCAUUGAAUCCUGAAUCGGAACUUCCUCCACCGUAACCCGGCCCGGAUCCUGAGCCACCGCCAGAUUCGUGAUCAUACCGGAAAUUAUUAGAAUUCUUGAACUCCUGCAUAAUAAAGCAAUCCUUCCAAAGGUGGUUUGCUGGAGCCUCUUUCGUCCCAUGUCUUGCACAGGGCUGGCUUAGCAGAUAGUUUAGGCGGUUUGGGUUCGGGUUGGGUGCUCCAUUACGAUUUUUCGGUCUACCCUUGCGUCGCUGGCCAUUGUCCUGUGCGUUGGUAUUAGCCACAAAGUCCAUGUUACCAUCCGCUUUACGCUUGCCUCCACCACCAUUGCCUGCCCAGUGAUGCUGCUGACCUUUGGAGCUGCUGUUCUUCUUCCCUUUCCCUAUCUUGUCAUCAUCAGAUUCGGGAUCCUUGGUACUAUCAGAAUCAGCAUAUUUCACCAAAGCGGCCAUGAGGGUCCCCAUGUCGGUGCAAUGACGCUUCAUCCGUCCCAACUUCAGCUUCAGGGGCCCAAACCGGCAGUUGCCUUCUAGGGUUAAUACUGCGGUGUCAGCGUUGAUGCGGUCUGAGGAGUGCAACACUUGUGAAACCCGGCGCACCCAAUGAGUCGUUGAUUCUCCUUCCUCCUGGAUGCAUGCAGCUAAGUCCACUAUCGACAUAGGCUGUUUACAGGUAUCCUUGAAAUUGCUGAUAAACCGGGCUCGUAAUUGGGCCCAUGAACUGAUAGAAUUAGCCGACAAGCUUUUUAACCAAGUACGGGCCGUUCCUUCAAGCAUCAUGGUGAAGUAUUUCGCACACGCCGCGUCAUCCACAUCAAGCAUCUCCAUGGCCAUCUCAUAGCUCUCCACCCAUGUCUCUGGAGGUUGAUCCGCCGUGUAAUUUGGUACCUUGCGCGGGCCUUUGAAAUCCUUGGGCAGGCGCACGUUGCGUAAAGCGGGGAUAAGGCAAGGCACCCCCAAAGAACUAGAAGUAACACCAGGUUCAGUCAAGGUGGUUGGACGAACCUGCCGAGCCUGAUGCUGUGUGGCUAACUCGGCCUCCCUGCGCGCACGGGCCCGGUCCACCACUCCCUGGGCAUUAUCAGCACCACCCGCCGGGUUGUUGUCAUGGGGUGCCCCACGUCGUUCAUUACUCGACACUGCUGGUUCAUCCAUAUGUCUGCUAUAGCUCCGGCUUGGACGGGGGGUCGAGUGGAUCCGGUCGCGGCUGUACGAGUACGCUUCCUAUUGGGCCAAAGCUGUCCUCAGAAGUUCCUUGACCCGUCGCGUCUCUACUGCCUGCGGCGAGUCACCUUCAAUUGGAAUGGCCUCCAGCCGUGCAGCAGCAGCAACAAGAUUGUCCAUUGGGUUGGAGUAGUGACCCGGAGGUGUUAAAGCAGCCUGAGGUAUAACGGUGUUCUGACGAGGCGGGUCCAUCUGACGAGGCUGAACCGGUGCACCGGUCCUAGGGGCUUCUGCCCGGUUUCCCUCCAGCGGAUUGCCGGCUCUUGGUCCUGGAGUGUUGAAAAGGUCUCUGGCCUCGAAAACCGGUGGUAAGCGGGAUCGGUGCUUCCUCCUCAUGACUUCAUGCGACGCGCUCUGGCCCAACAUAAGCCUGUAGGCCUGUGCGUCUAAAGCGGCACGCUCGGCGGCCAUCCUGGUGUCCUCAGCCGCCAGAUCCGCCUUGGCCUGGGUGAUCUGUUCCUUUACCUUUGCAAUCUCCGCGUUGUGAACGUCCUGAUCCGGCGGAUUAACUUCCGCCAUAAGCACAGCCAAUGCAUCAAAUAGUUCUGAUAGAACCUGAGCCGGCGGGCGCACAGGGCCUCCUGCCCCGGCAGCCGUCGCCGCUGCUGAACUGGAGAUCGUUGCCGCAGCUGUCGAAGAAUGAAGCGCUGCUUGUGUUCCGGCCAUGAAUAUUCCAACCCGGUUGGGCAGAUCAGAGGGGUCCGGAAUACUGUCGCCAUCGGAACAGCUCCCAAUCCGGCCAUCUUGUAGCUGAUAAAGAGAUUCGGUUUCUCCGGUCAAAGAUUCGUCACCGGAACAAACGACGGUCGCGCCGCGAAAUUCUGAUCCGUCCUCAUAACUUCCUCCAUGGAUGACUCCCACGAAGGCACGCUUUAUGGCCGGUUUAACCCGGGCGGAUCACGCACGCUCAGCCGUCUCGAUGAGGUCGGUGCAGAUGUCCGGCUCAGCGCCCGAUUCACUGAUCUUGCCAAUGAAAACGUGAAUGCUACCAAAGGGGACCCGGUACCCGUACUCAAUUGAAUCGGCCUCGGGGCCCCAGCCUGCGUCGUUGAUGUAGAGCUUGCCGCGAUGACUCUUAGUCAUCCGGCCUACAGCGUAGCCCUCGAGUCCUUCAAAGCGGCCCUCCAAGAACCGGAAACCAUCGUGCGAUAGCCCCACGGUGGGCGCCAACUGUCGUUGUUUUGUCACGGCAGAUGUCCUAGAGAAAGGACUUAGUCGUGGAGCCAUCGCAACGGGUUAGCUUGAAGGGGUUAAAGCAGACACAAGGACGCAAGAGAGUUUAUACUAGUUCGGCCCCUUCGAUGAAGGUAAAAGCCUACGUGUAGUUGUGAUGGAAUUGAUGGGGUUUCGAUGACUAGGGAGCAAACAAGCUUCGCCUAUGUCUCGAGUUGUUGUCUGUUGUCCUUGAACCGCCGCCGGGUCAUCCCCUUAUAUACACGGGUGACACCCGUCGGUUCACAGAGUCCCAACACCGGUCGAUAUUCGUAUCCGGGUUGGUCUCUCCUUAUUCCUAACUUACAAUACAAGCUUAUAUACAACUUCCGGUUUACAGCUACAAGUCUUGAACCGGCUACGGGCCUUAGGCCCUCAUCUGCCUUCUUGGGCUUUAUCACUUCUGGGACUACCGAUGAAGUUGACCCGGCCCAGAUAGGCCGGUUUACGCCCAGCAGUAAUAUCCUCAACAAUCGCCGUUGAUCCUUGGAUCUCUGUAGAGAAGGCCCUUAUUGACUUAGGGCGCCUUGCCUUUCGGAGGCCAUUUGGGCCCUUGGAUUCUGCCGCCUGGCAUUAGUUGCUUGACUGCGUCACUCUCCACGAGCCUGAGGUGGACGCUGGCCUGGACCUGGUUCGGUGGUGCCUUGAGCCGUCAGGCCAAUUCUCCACCCAGUCCCUCUACCGGGCCAUUGCACCAUCCUCCGCCCCUCCCCUUACGUCUGUCUGGUCCAUCCGCCUGCCGUUGAAGAUUCGGAUCUUCAUGUGGCAAUGGAUUCGCGGGCGGACCCCAUGUAGCAUGGAGGUCCGCAAGUGCAGUGGCCUGGGUAGUGGCCUUUGCCCGCUCUGUGGUGUCCCCGAAGACUCGAAUCACAUCUUCUUCUCUUGUGUGUCCGCUCAAUUCAUUUGGAGCUGCUUUAGAGAGGUGGUUGGUGGCAAUUGUUGUCACACCAAUUUCCUCGACCUAUUCGCCGAACUCCAGAACUCCCCCCCCCCCCAGCAUUCUCGCCACAUUAGGUGGCUGGAGAUUGGGGUCCUCGCUUGGACUCUCUGGAUGAUCCGCAAUAGACUUGUGAUUCAGCGCAUUCCGCUUCGACGUGCUACUGACGCCCUUUUCAAACUGUCUGGUUACUUGCAGCUUUGGCGGCCGCUUAGCCGCCCCACGGACCGGGACGCCAUCUCUGUCUUCAUCGCCGACCUUCGCUCGAUGGUUGUUCGUCUGUCGCCGCCGCUCCCUCCGCCACUCCCCGAGCUGGAUUAGGGGUCGGGCCCUCUUUGGCCUCUCCCGGCCGUUCUUUUUCCUUUUCUCUUUUGUUUGGGCUUGUUGAGCUGUGCCCUUAGCAGAACCUAUUGUACUUCUUGUUGUGAGACUUGGGUGUGUGUGUGUUGUGGACUAGUCCUUGUAUGGGUGAUCUGUGGCGGUUUGCUUUAUCUAUAAAGCGGGGCGAAAGCCUUUUUCGGUAUUUCAAAGGUUGUGAGGGUAGAUGUGCACAAGGAAAUUAACUCUUAUUUUCUAGGUAGACCAAAUCUUCUAAUUUAUGUACUCUUGUGAUGAAGUAGUAUCAGCUGAUGCAGCCAAUCAAGUUUAAUGUUCAGCAACAGAUGCGUCAGCAACAAAUCUGGCAACAGCAGAAUGUGGACAAUGGUUGGGAGGCUGAUGAGCCAUCCUGCAAACAAAAUAGUAUGUCAUGCAACAAAGGUAAAUUGUUUUAACAAACUUAAUUCCAAGGCUACAUCUAUCAUUCAUAUAGUCAUUCAAAUACUAGUAAGACAUGCGAAGCAAAUGUAACUAAGUCACUCUGGUUAAAAGUUGUGAUUUGACUGUGCCUGUGCUCUCAAAAGCCAUAUAUUUGACAGUUGGAUGGUUUUGGUUACCGUAGUACUACCAAAGAUGGAUGAAGAAAAUAUAGGAAGGACAAAGUACACUGCACAAGCACAAAUACGCUUUAUUUUUACCAACUUAACUUUGCAGGCAUUCAGAUGGAAGAGAUGGGCAGCAACCAACUGUAUCUAUGUGUGUGUGUGCCUCUGACCCUGGUGUAGUUCAUGUGCAAGCAGACUGUGCUGAUCAUUGGUUUGGUCUUUACAGUUUAUUUUCGUUCUGUGUGCCGAUGCCAUCUUCAGUUAAGCAUACGUUAACUAAAACCACGACGAGUAAUUUGAAAAGGAGGGAGUGCUAAACAGAGCAGAGAAAGAUAACAAGGUAAGCUAAUUGGCCUAGCAACUGUAAUAUCCAAAUCUAACGUACUACUCUCUCCGUCUCAAAAUAAGUGUCGCUAAUUUAAUACAAUUUUGUACUCAAUCAGCGUCCGUUAUUUUGGGACAAAGGGAGUAGAUAAUAACAAGUUAGGAUCUUCAGCUCAGUUCAGGGCACCACUUAAUCGCAAAAUAAUUGGAAAUUUUUGAAUUUUAAACUGUGUGUGUGAUCAACCAUGUACACGCAACUACAGGCAGGGUGUGGACAAAAGUCAGGGGGGAAAGAGAGUUGAAGAUGAGAUGAGAGGCAACGAGCUGAUGAGACUCCCCAUCAGUACUCCAAACAAGAAAAAUAACAAGAGCAGCACCUGCUUGCAACCCCUUUACUGAUUGCUUGCUAAUGAGUGUUUACUGGACAUGCUUUAUUUACCAACUUGCCACAGCACAGCACAGCACAGCCACCCCACAUGAGCAGGUCUCUGAACAAAAGGGGCAUCAUCCUGCUACAGAGUAGCACUCAGAGUCCAUGUAGCAGCAAGCAGGUUGUGGUGAUGAUUGGUCUCUCUCUUCUUUCAAAUUUGCUUUACCAACGUGCCGCAACACAAUCACGACUCAAAUGAAGACCCAGAUGAGCAGCAAAUAUAUAUACUGUACAUGUCUGUAUGUGUGUGCCUGGCUCUGAGGGCAGACAGAAAGGGGCACAUCCCACUGCAGAGCACACAGUUCAUGUGGCAGCAGGUUGUGGUGAUGAUUGAUUGAUUAGUCUCUAAUUUCCUUCAUUUCAAAUGGGCAUCUGUCCUUUGAGCAAAUGAUCCUGGCCAAUCUUCAGUUCAGAUAAGGUACCUGCCCCUUGAGCAAAUGAUGCUAAACAAAGGCAAAUUUUAGCAUACUCCCUUUUACCUCCUCUUUUCACAUGAGAGAUAAGAGUUCAUAAUAGAUCUGAGUCUUUGAUUUAAUUAAGUAGUAGUCAGAUUUACUCCUACCUUCUUCCCAAGUGAAAAGAGGGGGUAAGGAGGAUAAGGUAAGCAAAGCUGCUAAUUGAGCUACCAACUAAGCCUGUCGCGGCUUGGCUUUACGGUAUAUAUAUAUGAUAGCAUAUUACUUCCCUUUUAAGAUGAAGUGGGUAAGCAUCAACACCUGCUACUAACCCUGAUGUACGUAAUACUACUGCCGUGCUUAGACUAAUGCAUGCCUCGAAGUUCUACUCUACCUUUGUUUUCGCUUCUCGAUGUGCUUUUUGGCAAAAGUUCCAUGGUGACCCGCGAUUAUAACAAUGACAAAAGGCGCUUUGGGACUUAACAGGUCUCAACAUUCCAUAUGCUACUAGAAUUCAGUAGUAGUAGCAACUUUAUGACUUUGCUGUUGGCAAUUUCGACAAGUUUGUUCGAUGACACACAUAUAUAGGCCCUGUUUGGUUUCAAAUAAGUCAUCAACUUAUAAGUCGAAAAAUGCAAAAAAUCACCCCAACUUAUAAGCCAUAAGUUGCUCCACCCCAACUUAAAACUUAUAAGUCACCUCUUUUUACGUGGGUUUCAUCACCUUUAUAUUAAAAACAAGGUGAAAAAGUGUGGUCAGAUGACAACCAAACAGGCGUGACUUAUAAGUCACUGAUUUUAAGUCACAUGACUUAUAAGUCAGGUGAUUUAUUGGAACCGAACAUGCCCAUAGUAUAUUAAAAUAAUUAGAUUGGGAGACAUAUGUACAACCAGUAACAAACAGUUUGGAUAAAUUCACCUCCUCUAUUUUCUGCAUUGAGGCCUGAUUUCAACCAUGAAUCUGUCACACAUUUCAUGAGGCAAUCCUAUAUUCAUUCAUUCAUUCAUUGAUCGUGAAUGGAUAGAUGAUCUCAUCUCAUCCCUGAACCCAUGCAUGCACAAAAAUGAAAGACAGAGAAACCCAAACCAAAACACAAGUAACCACUACUAGCACUACCCUCUGUUUGCUUGCUUGUUUUCUCACACUACUUACAAACAAAAAGAAAGAAAUCAUCAAGGAGAACGAAAAACCUUGCUAGCUGC